AAGACCCUGCCAAAGGAGUCGAUGAGGUUCAGGAAGAACUCAAGAAGUAUUCAUCUGGCAUCUCCGGGGUCCCACAUUUUGUGAUCAAUGAUAAAUAUCAACUCAGUGGUGGCCAGCCUCCAAAUCUAUUCAUGAGGGCGUUUGAGAUAGCUGCAAAAGAUGGAGCUUAAUGGCAUUUCAAAGGAGCUCCUCCAGUAGUCUUCGCAUAUGUUAAAAAGGAAUAGGAGCAGAAUUUAACAAUAAAGUUCCAGCACAGCUCAUCGCUGAUUUGCGAAAAAUAUGUGGAAUCAGUUGUAUUUUUGUAGUUCUGAUGUGGUGAUAAUUAGUGGUGAAGAUGGUGUGGAUGUUCACUUUCGAAUAAAAUUCUAGGUGAUCGGAUAUGGCAUAUGAGUUAGAAUGCCCCAUAAACAGAGCCCGGUCUGUAUUUACAUUUGGU